rnacentral:rRNA from 1 species
UACGUAGGGUGCGAGCGUUGUCCGGAAUUAUUGGGCGUAAAGGGCUCGUAGGCGGUCUGUUGCGUCGGGAGUGAAAACUCAGGGCUUAACCCUGAGCCUGCUUCCGAUACGGGCAGACUAGAGGUAUGCAGGGGAAAGCGGAAUUCCUGGUGUAGCGGUGAAAUGCGUAGAUAUCAGGAGGAACACCGGUGGCGAAGGCGGCUUUCUGACAGAUACCGACGCUGAGGCACGAAAGCUAGGGGAGCAAACAGG